rnacentral:misc_RNA from 1 species
GAUGAAGAACGCAGCGAAAUGCGAUACGUAAUGUGAAUUGCAGAAUUCAGUGAAUCAUCGAAUCUUUGAACGCACAUUGCGCCCCUUGGUAUCCCGAGGGGCAUGCCUGUUCGAGCGUCAUUUCACCACUCAAGCCUGGCUUGGUGUUGGGCGACGUCCUCUUUGGGGACGCGCCUCGAAACGCUCGGCGGCGUGGCACCGGCUUUAAGCGUAGCAGAAUCUUUCGCUUUGGAAGUCGGGGCCCCGUCUGCCGGAAGACCUGCUCGCAAGGUUGACCUCGGAUCAGGCAGGGAUACCCGCUGAACUUAAGCAUAUCAAUAAGCGGAGGA